UACGAAGGGGGCUAGCGUUGCUCGGAAUCACUGGGCGUAAAGGGUGCGUAGGCGGGUCUUUUAAGUCAGGGGUGAAAUCCUGGAGCUCAACUCCAGAACUGCCUUUGAUACUGAAGAUCUUGAGUUCGGGAGAGGUGAGUGGAACUGCGAGUGUAGAGGUGAAAUUCGUAGAUAUUCGCAAGAACACCAGUGGCGAAGGCGGCUCACUGGCCCGAUACUGACGCUGAGGCACGAAAGCGUGGGGAACAAACAGG
rnacentral:rRNA from 1 species